rnacentral:rRNA from 1 species
GACGAACGCUGGCGGCGUGCUUAACACAUGCAAGUCGAACGAUGAAGCCUUUUCGGGGUGGAUUAGUGGCGAACGGGUGAGUAACACGUGGGUAAUCUGCCCUGCACUCUGGGAUAAGCCCGGGAAACUGGGUCUAAUACCGGAUAUGACUGUUGAUCGCAUGAUUGAUGGUGGAAAGUUCCGGCGGUGCAGGAUGAACCCGCGGCCUAUCAGCUUGUUGGUGGGGUAAUGGCCUACCAAGGCGACGACGGGUAGCCGGCCUGAGAGGGCGACCGGUCACACUGGGACUGAGACACGGCCCAGACUCCUACGGGAGGCAGCAGUGGGGAAUAUUGCACAAUGGGCGAAAGCCUGAUGCAGCGACGCCGCGUGAGGGAUGAC